rnacentral:rRNA from 1 species
CUACGGGGUGCAGCAGUGAGGAAUAUUGCACAAUGGGGGGAACCCUGAUGCAGCAACGCCGCGUGGAGGAUGACGCAUUUCGGUGUGUAAACUCCUUUUAUAUGUCAAGAAAAUGACGGUAGCAUAUGAAUAAGCACCGGCUAACUCCGUGCCAGCAGCCGCGGUAAUACGGAGGGUGCAAGCGUUACUCGGAAUCACUGGGCGUAAAGGACGCGUAGGCGGGUUGGAAAGUCAGGUGGGAAAUCCUACAGCUUAACUGUAGAACUGCACUUGAAACUUCUAAUCUAGAGUAUGGGAGGGGGAGAUGGAAUUAGUGGUGUAGGGGUAAAAUCCGUAGAUAUCACUAGGAAUACCUAAAGCGAAGGCGAUCUCCUGGAACAUUACUGACGCUAAGGCGUGAAAGCGUGGGGAGCAAACAGGAUUAGAUACCCUAGUAGUC